rnacentral:lncRNA from 10 species
UUUUGAUAUAGCAUGUUUAAUUCAAGCUAGUCUGUGUUCAAUUAUUGGAAGCAGGGAGUGAACGCUCUAAGAAAUAAAAUAACCUAGGGUGAAACACCUUAUUUUAUGAAAAACUAAUUUUUAGGAGCAUUUUCUUUUAUACUAUGUAAAAAAAUCCCUGAAAGAUGAACAGACUUUGACAGCUGUUAUAGGUGAGAGCCUCAAGUAAAGAUAAAAUUAAAUGUUUUCCUUAAAUGCUAUUGCCCAAAUAAUGAAUAUCCAUAAUUGAAAACUGAGAUUACCUUAUACUUUGCUUUGUUCUCUCUGCCAGAGUCCUACCCACUGUAUUAGUUGUUAGAGUUGUGGAACUUAACCGAAGCUUUCUCUGGAUUCCAGUUAGAGACCAAACUUUUGAAAAUUGACUAGAGAAAUGCUGCUGUUGAGUUUACUUUCUUCUGAAAGAAUAUCUUUUCCUGUAAUGGGAGGUACAAUAUUUCUGUACAGAGCUACUUCACUCCCACAAGUCAUAGGUCAUCAAGAAGAGCAUCUACAUCCCCAAAUGUUUCAGAGUAAUCACUGGAGGUCAAAUGUCUUUGCCAAUUUGAGUUUUUCCACUUGAACAAGAAAAGACUGUCAAGGGAAAGCCAAUCAAUUUCACAAUGUUUAGAAAAUGAAUGUUAUUCUCAGAAGAGAACUCAAAAAGGAUUUCUAUGAAGUCUCUGGCAGAAAACCGAGAAAUUACAAAUGGCAUGGAAACAAGAUCAAGAAAGGUGUUUUUCUGGAGACUUUCCAAUCAAAGCAAUGAAGAUUUAAAGUGGAAUAAAAGGAUUGGGCAACAAAUAAAUCGAGUGUAAAAGAAGUCUGAUUCCUCAUUGCUGACAGGAAGACAGCCAUGGAUUGGGAAAAGAUUAGAGUGAAUCCUGUGAUGUUGGAUUGGGAUUGAAGAUACCGAAAAUAAACUCCUGGAUCCAUAUUUCACACCUUAAGAAAGCACUCCAACCCCCAAGGGCAUCAACUUCAACAGGAAAACUGACCCUUCAACUUACCAAAUCUUUGAAGUGACUAGUUGUAUAGUACAACAAGCAGAAAAUUUGCUAUGGAGGUUGUGUUAACUGUUGACAUUUAUGUGAGAUUUUUGCUGCAUAUUUGUUAGAAAAGGCUCAACAAAAUUAUAAUAAACAAUGAUUGUGUUAUUAAUUUUUUAACUGUUAUAUCAGUUAUAAAUGCUUGGAAUGAAAAUGCCUUAAGGAAAUUAGUCAAUAAUGUCACAUAUGUUACUUUUUCUAAUUGGAUCUGCCAUGAUUGCUAUAAAACUUUGUCCUUCCACUAUGACUCAUGAGUAACUUCAAUAACAAACUGCUUGGGAAUUCCCAAUGCCACAGUAGAACUAGUAUAUGCAAACAUUAUUUAUUAUCAGGGUGCACAUAAAGGGAAACUAGGACAAAAACCUACCCUGUUUCAAUUUGAUCUUGUUCUCUUAAGCAUGGAAAAAGAAUACUUGUUGCUAUAACUCAACAACUAAAACUCUUGUUUCUCAGGAGAAAAUGCAAAAAGAAAACCAGUUUAUUUGUCAUUUUUGGUUUUGCAAAUGCUAAUCAAAGUUGGUCUUUAUGCAAUGCAAUUUUUCCCACUCUUAAAACUGACUGAUAACAGCAAAUCAGACUGAACCUAAAAAUGACUCCUUCAAAAGUACUAAAAGCCUGUGUGCUUAUGUUUAUAUAUUUGUCUGUGAAUGGGGACCAAAUCCUUUUAUAUGCUGGGGAAGAAAAUUCCUUGACUCUUGGUCAUUAGCAAGUCAGUGUACUUGGGUGCUCAUGUCACUAAAAUACCUCAUUUAUCCCUCCAAUAACACCUUCUUCUGGCCAGAAGGAUUAUAUUUAUCCUGUUUCAAAAGGGAAAAUCCUGGAGCACCUGAGGCAUAAAUAUGUCAUCUUCUGCCCAAUUAGUGUUUUUUUGUUUGUUUGUUUGCUUUGCCUGGAGUAGAACAUGGAGAAAUAUGAUCAUGAUUACUGAUUUCUCUCAAAUCCUAGGCAACCUAGCUGAUACGGUUUAUCUCUGUGUCCCCACCCAAAUCUCAUCUCAAAUUGUAAUCCCCACAUGUUGAGGGAGGGGAGUGAUUGGAUUAUGGGGGCUGUUUCCCUCAUGCUGUUCUUGUGAUAGUGAGUGAAUUCUCAUAAGAUCUGAUGGUUUUAUAAAUGGUAUUUUUUCCUGUGUGCUCGCUUCUGUCUCCUGCCACCAUGUGAAGAAGGUCCUUCCUUCCCCUUCACCUUCCACCAUGAUUGUAAGUUUCCUGAGGCUUCUCCAGAUGUGUGGAACUGUGAGUCAAUUAAACCUUCUUCCUUUAUAAAUUACACAGUCUUUGGAAGUUCUUUAUAGCAGUGUGAAAAUGUACUAAUACACUAACCUAUUCAACUGUCAAAGUUAUUGCCACUCAGUAAUAAUCUUUAAAUUCAUUAGCAGCAACUGUAUUAAAUAACAGAAUUACUCUAGAUUAUCUGUUGGCAGUACAGGGAAAUGUUUGUGGGAUAGUUAACAACUUACGUUAUACUUGGGAAAAUGCCUCUGAAGUAGUUGAACUGGAGCUCAAUAAAAUUAGUUUAGGCAGGUCGGCUAAGACAAGUGCCAUCUAUUGGUAAGCCAUCCUUUGACUUAUUUAGUUGUUACCAGAAAGGAUACAUUCCUUGACUAGAUCCCUGUUACAACUUAGUAUCAUUAUAACAUUAUUGUUUCUUUUUUAAAACUGUUCACUAAGUUCUUGGAAAACAUUAUUGUUUCUGAUAAUUUUGUUGAUCUGUAAGUAUUUGUCUCAAUGCUUAGAACAAGCACUAAUGCUGCCCACUGAUUUGAUGUUGGCCCAGAUUCCUGUAGCCUGUUCUGAACAUCCAGAAGGAACUUACAGCACCUAGAAUUAUAAGCUUGACUGAGUCUAUGAAAUAGCUUGUAAAUUCACUUCCCUGUGAGCCAGGGACCCAGAACAGAUAGUCUUACUUCACCCUGGCUUUUGCAGGACAAGAUGGAGCUCAUACAGCAUUGAUUUCGUCAGUGUCUAGGGACCUGUGGUGAUCACAGAUAUUCUCUCCUGGGAGAAAUAUCUUGAUCAAAUGAGGGAAAUGUGAGCUUAUCAAUGUUCCACACUUGCCAUCAGUAAUUUCAUCUUUGUCUACUGACUUCACAUUAAUACUGCCGAUGAACUUUGAGAUCUACAAAGUAACACUUCCUUCACAAAUAUUUGUACUCUCAACAGUACACACUAUAAAGAAACCGGUCACUAUCUUUAAGAACUUUAUAUAUAUAGCUUUUCUGACAAACUGAUGUAAUUUAUUCACGUUUAAUCAACUAAUGAAAUAAUCUGACAAACAAUAUAUGUAAACUAAAUAAGUUUUUCUCAAUGUAAGCCCUCUUUCCUCUUUCAGGUGGUGCAGUCUCUGGCUGCUAACUGGGUUGUAAUCCCUGUUCCUGAAUAAAUGUUUAUUUGCCUCUAGCCUGUUCAU